UACGAAGGAUGCAAGCGUUAUCCGGAUUCAUUGGGCUUAAAGGGAGCGUAGGCGGCCUUGUAAGUCAGUGGUGAAAUCUGUGGGCUUAACCCACAAACUGCCAUUGAUACUGCAGGUCUAGAGUACAGUUGCCGUUGGCGGAAUAUGACAUGUAGUGGUGAAAUACUUAGAUAUGUCAUAGAACACCGCUUGCGAAGGCAGAUAACGAAGCUGUAACUGACGCUGAGGCUCGAAAGUGCGGGGAUCAAACAGG
rnacentral:rRNA from 1 species